rnacentral:lncRNA from 1 species
CACAUAUUUACAAAGCACAUAUAUAUGAAAAACAUUAUGAACACGAGACAUACUUGGAGGUAACGCGAGUUUAUAGGCUACAUUUCCUACUCGAUCAAGAAUCUGAAAUGGACCAAUAAAUCGUGGAUUGAGCUUUCCUCUCUUCCCGAAUCUUGUAACUCCCUUCCAUGGGGCAACACGCAACAAUACAUGAUCCCCAAUACUAAACUCCAUGUCCUUUUGAUGAAGAUCCGCAUAACUCUUUUGUCG